rnacentral:SRP_RNA from 1 species
UGUGCAGGGGAGCCGGCGGGCUAGCCCUCCGCUGUUUGCAAAUGGGCUCAUGGCAGGCUCAAAGGAGCGAGUGAGGCAGGCGGCAUGGAGUCUCUUGCCCGACGAUGAGUUGCUGUCCUGCUCGACCGCUCUCUCGUGAACCGGGUCAGGCCUUGACGGGAGCAGCCCUAAGCGAGAGCCGCGGUGCUUGCAGGGUCGCAGCGACGAGAAAGGCAGGAGGUAGCUCCUUGCUUGCUUGCUGAGCAAGCUCCCUCCCUGCACG